rnacentral:misc_RNA from 1 species
CCUGCUCGGGCUGCGCCUUGAAAAAGGCACGGUCGGCAACACCCUUGUGUACGAGUACCUGUUUGUUCCCUUCGGCGCGCUCACCCGCCGAAGCGGCCUUUUAAAACCCCCCUUUGUGAUUUAGAACUAUACCUCUCUGAUUGUGGGUUUCGAAUCGUUUA